CCUACGGGUGACAGCAGUCGAGAAUCAUUCACAAUGGGGGAAACCCUGAUGGUGCGACGCCGCGUGGGGGAAUGAAGGUCUUCGGAUUGUAAACCCCUGUCAUGUGGGAGCAAAUUAAAAAGAUAGUACCCCAAGAGGAAGAGACGGCUAACUCUGUGCCAGCAGCCGCGGUAAUACAGAGGUCUCAAGCGUUGUUCGGAAUCACUGGGCGUAAAGCGUGCGUAGGCUGUUUCGUAAGUCGUGUGUGAAAGGCGCGGGCUCAACCCGCGGACGGCACAUGAUACUGCGAGACUAGAGUAAUGGAGGGGGAACCGGAAUUCUCGGUGUAGCAGUGAAAUGCGUAGAUAUCGAGAGGAACACUCGUGGCGAAGGCGGGUUCCUGGACAUUAACUGACGCUGAGGCACGAAGGCCAGGGGAGCGAAAGGGAUUAGAUACCCCUGUAGUC
rnacentral:rRNA from 1 species